GUUUGCUCACUUCGGCAACACAUACACUAAAACUGAAACAACACAGAGAAGAUUACCAUGACCCCUGCACAAGAAUGACAAAAAUGAGUUUGUUAUAAACAGAUAUUAC